CUUCAGCUGACGAAUCCCAAAUAGUACGAAAUGCGCAUCCUGGAU
rnacentral:hammerhead_ribozyme from 1 species